rnacentral:lncRNA from 1 species
UAUUUUAAGGAUGCAGAGAACAGUACAGUUUUGAAUGACGAGGUUUAUGCAAUCGAAAUGGGCGCAGAAAUUUCCAAUCUGAGUAACGCCAUCAGCUUGACCUUCAAAACAGAUCAUCAUUCUCUGCACCAGACGGGAACUCCUGUUUGUAAAUCAUGGGAUGGAAACGGACAUCAGCCAAACUGGACAACCGAAGGGUGUAGUACCCUUAUAAAAGGAGAAAAUAUAACAUGUAAAUGUGAACACUUGACUUUCUUCGCUGUGCUCAUGAUCCCUCCAAAUAAAACUCACUCCAUUUCCCAAAAUGACCUCACCGCUCUCACCUACAUCACCUACAUCGGCUGUGGCAUCUCCUUGUUUUUCCUGUCCAUU